GGCUCAGGAUGAACGCUAGCUACAGGCUUUAACACAUGCAAGUCGAGGGGCAGCGGGAUUGAAGCUUGCUUCAAUUGCCGGCGACCGGCGCACGGGUGAGUAACGCGUAUCCAACCUUCCGUACACUCAGGGAUAGCCUUUCGAAAGAAAGAUUAAUACCCUGAUGGUAUGAUGAGAUCGCAUGGUAUCAUCAUUAAAGAUUUAUCGGUGUACGAUGGGGAUGCGUUCCAUUAGGUAGUAGGCGGGGUAACGGCCCACCUAGCCUACGAUGGAUAGGGGGUUCUGAGAGGAAGGUCCCCCACAUUGGAACUGAGACACGGUCCAAACUCCUACGGGAGGCAGCAGUGAGGAAUAUUGGUCAAUGGACGAGAGUCUGAACCAGCCAAGUAGCGUGCAGGAUGACGGCCCUAUGGGUUGUAAACUGUCUUUAUAAGGGAAUAAAGUGGGAGUCGUGACUCUUUUGCAUGUACCUUAUGAAUAAGGACCGGCUAAUUCCGUG
rnacentral:rRNA from 1 species